rnacentral:rRNA from 1 species
UACGAAGGGGGCUAGCGUUGCUCGGAAUUACUGGGCGUAAAGGGCGCGUAGGCGGACAUUUAAGUCAGGGGUGAAAUCCCAGAGCUCAACUCUGGAACUGCCUUUGAUACUGGGUGUCUUGAGUGUGAGAGAGGUAUGUGGAACUCCGAGUGUAGAGGUGAAAUUCGUAGAUAUUGGGAAGAACACCGGUGGCGAAGGCGGCGACCUGGCCCUUUACUGACGCUGAGGCGCGAAAGCGUGGGGAGCAAACAGG